AGGACGAACGGCUGGCGGCGUGCUUAACACAUGCAAGUCGAACGAUGGCGAUGGUGCUUGCACCGUCUGAUAGUGGCGAACGGGUGAGUAACACGUGAGUAACCUGCCCUCCGUCUUCGGGAUAACCGCCGGAAACGGUGGCUAAUACCGGAUAUGAAUGCCUGCCGCAUGGUGGGUGUUGGAAAGAUUUAUCGGUGGGGGGAUGGACUCGCGGCCUAUCAGUUUGUUGGUGAGGUAAUGGCUCACCAAGGCGAUGACGGGUAGCCGGCCUGAGAGGGCGACCGGCCACACUGGGACUGAGACACGGCCCAGACUCCUACGGGAGGCAGCAGUGGGGAAUAUUGCACAAUGGGCGAAAGCCUGAUGCAGCGACGCCGCGUGGGGGAUGACGGCCUUCGGGUUGUAAACCUCUUUCAGCAGGGAAGAAGCGAGAGUGACGGUACCUGCAGAAGAAGCGCCGGCUAACUACGUGCCAGCCGCCGC
rnacentral:rRNA from 1 species